rnacentral:rRNA from 1 species
GGGUUGUGAGGUUAAGCGACUAAGCGUACACGGUGGAUGCCCUGGCAGUCAGAGGCGAUGAAGGACGUGCUAAUCUGCGAUAAGCGUCGGUGAGGUGAUAUGAACCGUUAUAACCGGCGAUUUCCGAAUGGGGAAACCCAGUGUGUUUCGACACACUAUCAUUAACUGAAUCCAUAGGUUAAUGAGGCGAACCGGGGGAACUGAAACAUCUAAGUACCCCGAGGAAAAGAAAUCAACCGAGAUUCCCCCAGUAGCGGCGAGCGAACGGGGAGGAGCCCAGAGCCUGAAUCAGUGUGUGUGUUAGUGGAAGCGUCUGGAAAGGCGCGCGAUACAGGGUGACAGCCCCGUACACAAAAAUGCACAUAUUGUGAGCUCGAUGAGUAGGGCGGGACACGUGGUAUCCUGUCUGAAUAUGGGGGGACCAUCCUCCAAGGCUAAAUACUCCUGACUGACCGAUAGUGAACCAGUACCGUGAGGGAAAGGCGAAAAGAACCCCGGCGAGGGGAGUGAAAAAGAACCUGAAACCGUGUACGUACAAGCAGUGGGAGCCUCUUAAUGGGGUGACUGCGUACCUUUUGUAUAAUGGGUCAGCGACUUAUAUUCUGUAGCAAGGUUAACCGAAUAGGGGAGCCGAAGGGAAACCGAGUCUUAACUGGGCGUUAAGUUGCAGGGUAUAGACCCGAAACCCGGUGAUCUAGCCAUGGGCAGGUUGAAGGUUGGGUAACACUAACUGGAGGACCGAACCGACUAAUGUUGAAAAAUUAGCGGAUGACUUGUGGCUGGGGGUGAAAGGCCAAUCAAACCGGGAGAUAGCUGGUUCUCCCCGAAAGCUAUUUAGGUAGCGCCUCGUGAAUUCAUCUCCGGGGGUAGAGCACUGUUUCGGCAAGGGGGUCAUCCCGACUUACCAACCCGAUGCAAACUGCGAAUACCGGAGAAUGUUAUCACGGGAGACACACGGCGGGUGCUAACGUCCGUCGUGAAGAGGGAAACAACCCAGACCGCCAGCUAAGGUCCCAAAGUCAUGGUUAAGUGGGAAACGAUGUGGGAAGGCCCAGACAGCCAGGAUGUUGGCUUAGAAGCAGCCAUCAUUUAAAGAAAGCGUAAUAGCUCACUGGUCGAGUCGGCCUGCGCGGAAGAUGUAACGGGGCUAAACCAUGCACCGAAGCUGCGGCAGCGACACUAUGUGUUGUUGGGUAGGGGAGCGUUCUGUAAGCCUGUGAAGGUGGCCUGUGAGGAAUGCUGGAGGUAUCAGAAGUGCGAAUGCUGACAUAAGUAACGAUAAAGCGGGUGAAAAGCCCGCUCGCCGGAAGACCAAGGGUUCCUGUCCAACGUUAAUCGGGGCAGGGUGAGUCGACCCCUAAGGCGAGGCCGAAAGGCGUAGUCGAUGGGAAACAGGUUAAUAUUCCUGUACUUGGUGUUACUGCGAAGGGGGGACGGAGAAGGCUAUGUUGGCCGGGCGACGGUUGUCCCGGUUUAAGCGUGUAGGCUGGUUUUCCAGGCAAAUCCGGAAAAUCAAGGCUGAGGCGUGAUGACGAGGCACUACGGUGCUGAAGCGACAAAUGCCCUGCUUCCAGGAAAAGCCUCUAAGCAUCAGGUAACAUCAAAUCGUACCCCAAACCGACACAGGUGGUCAGGUAGAGAAUACCAAGGCGCUUGAGAGAACUCGGGUGAAGGAACUAGGCAAAAUGGUGCCGUAACUUCGGGAGAAGGCACGCUGAUAUGUAGGUGAAGCGACUUGCUCGUGGAGCUGAAAUCAGUCGAAGAUACCAGCUGGCUGCAACUGUUUAUUAAAAACACAGCACUGUGCAAACACGAAAGUGGACGUAUACGGUGUGACGCCUGCCCGGUGCCGGAAGGUUAAUUGAUGGGGUUAGCGGUAACGCGAAGCUCUUGAUCGAAGCCCCGGUAAACGGCGGCCGUAACUAUAACGGUCCUAAGGUAGCGAAAUUCCUUGUCGGGUAAGUUCCGACCUGCACGAAUGGCGUAAUGAUGGCCAGGCUGUCUCCACCCGAGACUCAGUGAAAUUGAACUCGCUGUGAAGAUGCAGUGUACCCGCGGCAAGACGGAAAGACCCCGUGAACCUUUACUAUAGCUUGACACUGAACAUUGAGCCUUGAUGUGUAGGAUAGGUGGGAGGCUUUGAAGUGUGGACGCCAGUCUGCAUGGAGCCGACCUUGAAAUACCACCCUUUAAUGUUUGAUGUUCUAACGUGGGCCCCUUACCGGGGUUGCGGACAGUGUCUGGUGGGUAGUUUGACUGGGGCGGUCUCCUCCUAAAGAGUAACGGAGGAGCACGAAGGUUGGCUAAUCCUGGUCGGACAUCAGGAGGUUAGUGCAAUGGCAUAAGCCAGCUUGACUGCGAGCGUGACGGCGCGAGCAGGUGCGAAAGCAGGUCAUAGUGAUCCGGUGGUUCUGAAUGGAAGGGCCAUCGCUCAACGGAUAAAAGGUACUCCGGGGAUAACAGGCUGAUACCGCCCAAGAGUUCAUAUCGACGGCGGUGUUUGGCACCUCGAUGUCGGCUCAUCACAUCCUGGGGCUGAAGUAGGUCCCAAGGGUAUGGCUGUUCGCCAUUUAAAGUGGUACGCGAGCUGGGUUUAGAACGUCGUGAGACAGUUCGGUCCCUAUCUGCCGUGGGCGCUGGAGAACUGAGGGGGGCUGCUCCUAGUACGAGAGGACCGGAGUGGACGCAUCACUGGUGUUCGGGUUGUCAUGCCAAUGGCACUGCCCGGUAGCUAAAUGCGGAAGAGAUAAGUGCUGAAAGCAUCUAAGCACGAAACUUGCCCCGAGAUGAGUUCUCCCUGACUCCUUGAGAGUCCUGAAGGAACGUUGAAGACGACGACGUUGAUAGGCCGGGUGUGUAAGCGCAGCGAUGCGUUGAGCUAACCGGUACUAAUGAACCGUGAGGCUUAACCUUACAACGCCGAAG